CUGGGCUUUCCUUGUACUCUCUAACUUUGUAGGUAUUUUUAGGGAUAGUAAUACUGAACCAUUUAAUCUAUUUAACAUCGUUCAAAUCAUUAUAAAUUAAUUUAGAUUAUCUAUUUAAUAAAAUGAUUCAAUUUGAACUUAAAUUUUUAAUCAAUUAAAUAAAUAGAAUGAAUUAAGGUUGAUAUAUUUUUCAUCUAUCUUUGAUAUCCAAUUUGAUUUAUAUUUUUUUCAAUCUGAUCC
rnacentral:lncRNA from 1 species